rnacentral:rRNA from 1 species
UACAGAGGGGGCGAGCGUUAUUCGGAAUUAUUGGGCGUAAAGGGCGCGUAGGCGGCUGCGCAAGUCUCGGGUGAAAUCCCUCGGCUCAACCGAGGAACUGCCCUGGAAACUGCGCGGCUCGAGGCCGGGAGAGGAUGGUGGAAUUCCCAGUGUAGCGGUGAAAUGCGCAGAUAUCGGGAGGAACACCAAUUGCGAAGGCAGCUCGCUGGGACGUCACUGACGCUGAGACGCGAAAGCGUGGGAGCAAACAGGG